AAAAAAGAAGAUAUCAGCGACGGAUUGAUGGAUCCGUCGCCAAAUGCAUUGCUAAUUUGUCAUAAAAAUAUAGAUCAGUGACGGAUUAGUAAUAAAUCUAUGCAAAUUUAUUGUUAAAGCCCAUUAACAAUGAGAUUUUCAUUGUCGACUAUAAUUCAUCGUUAAUUUAUAGCUAAUUUAAAAAAUUAACUUUCAACGAUGAAUUUUAAUCUAGUAUUAAAAUUUCUCAUUGCUAAAUCAAUAUUUUUGAUCCGAAAUUUUCAUCCUUCACUAAAUCCAUCUCUUAUACUUAUAUUUUUUUUUAAAUAAAAUUUUAUAGUCAAAUUUUUAUUUAAAUUAACUAAUAUUUUCAAAUAUUUUAAUCAUAUGCAAG
rnacentral:misc_RNA from 1 species